rnacentral:rRNA from 1 species
AUUGAACGCUGGCGGCAUGCCUUACACAUGCAAGUCGAACGGUAACAGGUCUUCGGAUGCUGACGAGUGGCGAACGGGUGAGUAAUACAUCGGAACGUGCCCGAGAGUGGGGGAUAACGAGGCGAAAGCUUUGCUAAUACCGCAUACGAUCUCAGGAUGAAAGCAGGGGACCGCAAGGCCCUGCGCUCACGGAGCGGCCGAUGGCAGAUUAGGUAGUUGGUGGGAUAAAAGCUUACCAAGCCGACGAUCUGUAGCUGGUCUGAGAGGACGACCAGCCACACUGGGACUGAGACACGGCCCAGACUCCUACGGGAGGCAGCAGUGGGGAAUUUUGGACAAUGGGCGCAAGCCUGAUCCAGCCAUGCCGCGUGCAGGAUGAAGGCCUUCGGGUUGUAAACUGCUUUUGUACGGAACGAAACGGCUCCUUCUAAUAAAGGGGGCUAAUGACGGUACCGUAAGAAUAAGCACCGGCUAACUACGUGCCAGCAGCCGCAGUAAUAC